rnacentral:tRNA from 1 species
AGUUAUAUAGUCUAUAAAGGAUAUUAAAUUGCAAAUUUAAUGGUAAUAUUUAUAUUUAUAGCUU